GGGUUCGUGGGGUAGCUUGGUAUCCUUCGACGUUUGGGACGUUGUGACCCCAGUUCAAAUCUGGGCGAACCCA
rnacentral:tRNA from 2 species